GUGCUUGCUUCGGCAACACCUUUAUUAAAAUUGGAACUACACAGAGAUGAGCACGGCUCCUCACAAGGAUGAUACACAAAUUUGUGAAGCGUGCCAUACUUAA
ensembl:snRNA U6 U6 spliceosomal RNA